rnacentral:rRNA from 1 species
UAGGGAAUCUUCCGCAAUGGGCGAAAGCCUGACGGAGCAACGCCGCGUGAGUGAUGAAGGUCUUCGGAUCGUAAAACUCUGUUAUUAGGGAAGAACAAAUGUGUAAGUAACUAUGCACGUCUUGACGGUACCUAAUCAGAAAGCCACGGCUAACUACGUGCCAGCAGCCGCGGUAAUACGUAGGUGGCAAGCGUUAUCCGGAAUUAUUGGGCGUAAAGCGCGCGUAGGCGGUUUUUUAAGUCUGAUGUGAAAGCCCACGGCUCAAACGGGGAAGGUCAUUGGAAACUGGAAAACUUGAGUGCAGAAGAGGAAAGUGGAAUUCCAUGUGUAGCGGUGAAAUGCGCAGAGAUAUGGAGGAACACCAGUGGCGAAGGCCACUUUCUGGUCUGUAACUGACGCUGAUGUGCGAAAGCGUGGGGAUCAAACAGG